CCUCCCCUUUGUGUGUUUCAGUGCUUUGUAUGCUAUUGCAAAGAGAUAAUGGGUUUUCAGGAGUGGAUGUCAGAAUUGCAUUCAUAUGCUUGGCCAAAUGAUAGCUAAGUUCAAUAAAGCGGCAGACAUUUCAAAAACAAGAGCAACGGUCCUACCUUAAACGAAGGUCUCGCCCACGGGCCUCCUCGUGGUGCUUCUGCAAGUAAACGCCUCGUGCUGCCGGCCUGCUACACCUGCCGGGGAGGAGCCACCUCCCCACCCCCCAUGGAGCUUCCACAGAACGCAGCUGUUAACACCUAAUAAUUACCGUUUUGUGACUCCGGUACUGGGAGCGGCAGUGGCUGAUGCUGCUUUUGAGACCGCUCGUCAGUUAGGAAUCGCUGACCCCCCGCAGACAACGCAUUUAUUUAGAGGUGUUUCCAUCAGCCUUUGCUCCUGCUGCUCUGUGAACCAGCUAGGGAUGAAUAUGCCCUGAAGUUAUUUGGGUAGAGUUGAGUUUUGCUGCUUCUUAGUCUGAUCCAGACUGAGCCCCACAAGCCAGAGGCCUAAUCAAUACCAUACUAACUGCUCCAUUAAUCCUCUUUUGCUGCUAUUUCUCUUCCAUCUAUCCAGGAGACUGUUGUUACCUCAGAGCAGAUAAUUGAUUUUUUCUAGGUAAUAACUGUAGCAGCUUAUCAGUGAUAUUUCCCUCAUUCCCCUGUACUGCAGGUCCCUAUUACGGUCUGGCAGAUCAGAGCUGCUUUCUGAUUGUUCUGAAGCAGUGUCUGUAUGAACUGCAGCCUAAUGCAAAAAGCCACAGCCAGUGCAGCUACCAGAUAUGCCUAACUGCUUUAUCCUUGCAUCUUGGUGGUGGUGGGAGAGGAUGUCAUUUUAUUCAGUC
rnacentral:lncRNA from 1 species